rnacentral:rRNA from 1 species
GCAGAGCAUCCUACGGGAGGCAGCAGUGGGAAUAUUGCACAAUGGGCGCAAGCCUGAUGCAGCCAUGCCGCGUGUAUGAAGAAGGCCUUCGGGUUGUAAAGUACUUUCAGCAGUGAGGAAGGUGGGUAUGUUAAUAGCAUACUCAUUUGACGUUAGCUGCAGAAGAAGCACCGGCUAACUCCGUGCCAGCAGCCGCGGUAAUACGGAGGGUGCGAGCGUUAAUCGGAAUUACUGGGCGUAAAGCGCAUGCAGGUGGUUUGUUAAGUCAGAUGUGAAAGCCCGGGGCUCAACCUCGGAAUUGCAUUUGAAACUGGCAAACUAGAGUACUGUAGAGGGGGUAGAAUUUCAGGUGUAGCGGUGAAAAUGCGUAGAGAUCUGAAGGAAUACCGGUGGCGAAGGCGGCCCCCCUGGACAGAUACUGACACUCAGAUGCGAAAGCGUGGGGAGCAAACAGGAUUAGAUACCCUGGUAG